rnacentral:rRNA from 1 species
CUUUAGGUAGGCAGGGUGAGAAUCCCAAGGCGCUUGAGAGAACUCGGGUGAAGGAACUAGGCAAAAUGGCACCGUAACUUCGGGAGAAGGUGCGCCCUUUGGUGUGGUCACGUGCGUGACUGAGCAUCGAAGGGUCGCAGUAACCUGGCCGCUGCGACUGUUUAUCAAAAACACAGCACUCUGCAAACACGAAAGUGGACGUAUAGGGUGCGACGCCUGCCCGGUGCUGGAAGGUUAAUUGAUGGGGUCAGCCGCAAGGCGAAGCUCUUGAUCGAAGCCCCAGUAAACGGCGGCCGUAACAAUAACGGUCCUAAGGUAGCGAAAUUCCUUGUCGGGUAAGUUCCGACCUGCACGAAUGGCGUAACGACAGCGGCGCUGUCUCCACCCGAGACUCAGUGAAAUUGAAAUCGCUGUGAAGAUGCAGCGUUCCCGCGGCAAGACGGAAAGACCCCGUGAACCUUUACUAUAGCUUUACACUGAACGUUGAGUUCUUCUGUGUAGGAUAGGUGGGAGGCUAUGAAACCAGGACGCUAGUUCUGGUGGAGCCAUCCUUGAAAUACCACCCUGAAGUGCUUGACGUUCUAACCUAGGCCCGUAAUCCGGGUCAGGGACCGUGUAUGGUGGGUAGUUUGACUGGGGCGGUCUCCUCCCAAAGAGUAACGGAGGAGCACGAAGGUACGCUCAGCGCGGUCGGACAUCGCGCACUGUGUGCAAAGGCAUAAGCGUGCUUGACUGCGAGAUCGACGGAUCAAGCAGGUACGAAAGUAGGUCUUAGUGAUCCGGUGGUUCUGUAUGGAAGGGCCAUCGCUCAACGGAUAAAAGGUACUCCGGGGAUAACAGGCUGAUACCGCCCAAGAGUUCAUAUCGACGGCGGUGUUUGGCACCUCGAUGUCGGCUCAUCACAUCCUGGGGCUGUAGCCGGUCCCAAGGGUAUGGCUGUUCGCCAUUUAAAGUGGUACGCGAGCUGGGUUCAGAACGUCGUGAGACAGUUCGGUCCCUAUCUGUCGUGGGCGUUGGAGAUUUGAGGGGGGCUGCUCCUAGUACGAGAGGACCGGAGUGGACGUUCCGCUGGUGUUCGGGUUGUCAUGCCCAUGGCAUUGCCCGGUAGCUACGAACGGAAGUGAUAACCGCUGAAAGCAUCUAAGCGGGAAGCACGCCCCAAGAUGAGAUCUCCCGAGAGCUUGACUCUCCUAAAGGCACCAUCAAGACUAGGUGGUUGAUAGGUCAGGUGUGGAAGCGCAGCAAUGCGUUGAGCUAACUGAUACUAAUGAGCCGUGAGGCUUGAGCAA